CCUGCCAGAGGCCCACAUUCCCUUGGCUCUAUAUAUGGGCUUCUCCGCAGGCCCAUGUGCCACAUCCUCGCUCCAAGGGGCCUCAGGCGAAUCAGGAAGGUGCCUGUGGGACCAGGCUGGGACCACAGAUGGGCCAGAGUCUCUGUGGAGCAGGACCCCUGGAAACCCUCCUCCAAUUUCAUGUGGACAAUUUUAGUUUGGUUUCUGGGAUAGUGUCUUGAAAACUUCCUUAAACAGUUGUCUGCAAUGGGCACAGGUGCUGGUUCCUGUCAUUCACAUCUAUGGUUUGUGUUAGAUGUAUGUAGUCACUGUAUCUUCUUGAGUGCUGGCCUCCCGUCUGUCCAGAGGGCCCUUGAGCUCUUGCAGGUGGAGACCAUGUCUUAAAUGUCUUGCCUCUUUCUUGUCUCCCCCCUGAGCAUCGAGAACCAACUAGACCCAUAAAAAAUCUUCCCUGUUGUGGUGGUCCUCUGUCCCUGUGCACUUUCUACCUGUCAUGGCUCGUCACUGACGCCUGCCUCUAGCCUUCGCAGACUGGGACCCUCCCUGAGCAGCCACAGUCCCACAUCAGCCCUACAGUUUCUCCUUUGCUUGUGACAAAUAUGGGGCUGGCACUUUAUAGCAGGGAAAGCAGCAGCAGCAGGAGCUGAUCAAUUCCUAAGCAACGAAGAUCCUGUUUUCAUGCAAACGUCCUCAGCAUUAAAACAAAAACAAAUUCCUCACAGGGCGCGUCCUGGAUGCCAAGUCUCUUCACAAGACACAUUUUUAAAGCAAAGUUUUGCGCCUGCGCGAGUCACAAGCAGGAACUGGAAGGAGAGCUGCCUGCCAAGUGCUGUCUCCAGGUGCUCUCCUUACAACCUCACAGGCACCCAACCGCUAGCCACAGUGGCUUCCCGAUGUGACGGAUGAGGAAACAGGCAGAGAGGACUGGGAGAGUGUGUCCAGGGUCCAUCAGCUGGCAAAUGGCAGCAAGGUGAUCUGGCCAGGUCUGACUGGACUGUUUCUGACACAGACACUGGUGUGACUAUAUUCAUGAGAGACCAGGGGCAGACUGGGACCAUUUCAGAUGACUGUAGGCAAAACCUUUUUAUUUAAAAGAAGGAUGGUGUAUGAUAUCGAGUCUCUCCUGACUACAUACCCAGUCCUGGGUGUGAAUCUGGGUGAACCACGGGAACUAACUCUAUGCUGGUUAGCGUAUGAUGCCCACAGAAAGACUCAGGAGGGACAGUCCCUGACUCCAGGGGCUCUGAACAUGGUGCUGAAUUCCUCGCCUCAGAGGCCAACAGCAAAUAACAAGAGGGUUACGAGGUGAGGCAGGACAUUUAAGGAGAAUGGCAGCAAGCGUCCUCAGCUCCACAGAGGUGGGGCCACGGAGUGCUAAGUGAACUGGGAAGGCUUCCUGGAGGAGGGAGAUGCUCCAAUUCCACAAGAGGGUCUCUUUAACAGACAUCCCUGGCUUGAUGCCAGGGGAUCUGGAGCCCUCCAACACCAGUACCACCAGGUCAUCACCAGGGUCACUGGGCCUGCCCAGUGUUCAUAGGAAAGAGCCCAGAGGGCAUCUAGCCUCCAGUGGGCUCUGGUGGCUUUGUCUUUGAGGAUCUCGGGUAUCCAGAGGCAGCACACGUUGAUGAGUCAGAUGUCACAUGGUUCAUGUCUGGCAAAAGGCCAGGAAUACCAGGACGGUGGCAUGCUUGUGCUGUGGGAUCCCCUGGUGCCACUCACUUCUGCUGAUUCUUCAUCCCAGACUCAAGGUCCGACUGCAGUUCAAACCUCCUUCCCCGGCUCUCUGAAAUGUUCUCUGCAGUCCCUUCCCACCCCAGGGGUGGGACCCUGCCUUCUCCAGGUGUCCAGCAGCGCACUGGGCCUGGAGCUGGAGACACCAGGGUCAGGACACCUGACUGCAGCCUCCUAGAGCAGCCUGACAAGCUCCCCAAAUGCAUCUCUCAUGGCACCAUUAGCACCCAGGCAAAGGCCUGGAACUGUGAAGGGGGGAUUAGUGGGCAAAUAUGGCAGAGGAAGAGGGCCAGCGAAGGGGAUUGGUGGAGGCCAAGAGAGACAAGAAUCUGCUAAGCAGAGUGGAAAGAGUGGGGCUUGGUGUGCAGACAGCCUGGGCUGGAACCCCACCCUGUCAGUGUGUCGGGGACUGCGGGUACUCCCCAGGAUCCAGGCUCUCCUCUUCCCCGCAGACUUGCAGUGGACGACAUUGCCCAGCCUUCCUUCCUAUGAGGCGUGGCCCUAUGCCUACAUCCUGGCCAGUGGAAAGACAGCAGAAGUGUCGUGGGGUAAUUCCAAGCCUGGCCCAUAAAAAUCUCCCACUUGUGGUUCCUGCACUUACCUCACCCGGCAGCUGAAUGGAGAGAAAACCCAGGACUAGAGGUAGACAGAUUGCCAAGACGGAAGGGGCCUGGGUCCCUGACGCACCCCGUGGAAGACUGCAUGCUAAACACACACCCUGAAUCGUGCAAACGAGAUCAACUCCUCGCGUGCGGAGCCAUUUAUAUAUGGGUUGUUACAGCUGUGGCCCCAUGUGACUGAUAGAGUCUCUGACUUGCCAUGCCGUGUUGGACCAGUUCCUUAGCCUCCCUAGGCUCUGGCUUUCUCAUUUGUAAAGUGAGAAUUUUAAAAGCAUUCCUGAGAAUGACUGAGCUCAGACUUAAAAAGCUCCUACAACCAGGCAUGGUGACUUUUGUGAGUCUUAGGUACUUCUGCCUUCGUGGGCCCCUUCCUCCAGACAUACAUAAAUAACAUGCAAUUUUAAUUCAAUUAAUUCAAAAUAAAUAAUUUGAAGUUAGGUUUUAUGACUGCACGGAUACAAAUAGGAACAUAAAAUCAGGCCGGAUCCAAAAUUAUGUCUAUUCCUCUUUAGCAUUUUUACACUACAUUUUAUCAUCGUUAUUACUAUAUUCCUUUUUCUUUCUGAUUUUAAAAGAAAUAAAAAUUAAAAAUUUUCUGGGCCCCUGCAAGAAUGUUGGGCCACAGGCACAGUGCUGUUGUACCUCUUGCAUAUGAUGAAUGGUAACUAUCACAGAUCACAGCGGAACCAAGGACAGGGGACUGAGAGGUGAAGUAGUAACCCAGGCGAGGAAGGCUCCUUUGGCCUGUUGCAUCUCCAGUGGAGAGGUUCAUGGGGAUAGAGUGGCAUGUUCAAAAAGGGUGGGGACAUCUAACCCUCAGUGCCUUAUGUCCAGCAUAAGGCUGGAAAACUUGUCUUACUCCAGCACUCUCAACUUCCCCCGACUUACCAUGAAGUAGGGAGUCUUUUUUUUAUCCCCAUUUUACGAUUGAAAACAAAACAGAGAGAAAAGAAAGAAACGGAUGCUAAGGACAAGUGGCUAAGCUGAGAACUGAAACAAUGUCUUGGGUGCCCAGUCGAAUGCUCACUCCACCACCUGGCCUUCCAUCUAUCAUGAGCUGUGUCGUAAAACUGAUAAAUGGCAGUGCCUAUGGAGGGUGUCAGACACCCCAACACCUCCUUUCAAGAAUACUGAAGAACCUGCUUAUGGCUGAAAUCAAACACAUCGUGCCAGCUUAAACUUGUGCUUUCUCAUUCUCCUCCCAAAUGUAUUCCUUAGAAGGUCUAAUUAUAGUGACUUCUAUUUUCUUGUAAAUAAUCACAUCUGUCAUAACUGAUUUAACUGAUCCAAGGCUCCAAGUUGGCAGUCUUGGCGGCCUGAGCCAAUGUGUCAAUUAUGCCAAGAAGGCUGUGAGCAAAAGUUGCAUGAAAUGGGAGAGAGAGGGGAAAAAAAAAUUAGUCACAGUCAUAUAGAUGGUGGGGACCAAUAUGUGCUUUUUCACAACAGUAAUAUCAAUACAAACUCUUAAACGUGGCCAAGGCAUGUCAAUCCCUUAGCAAUCCAACUUAGUGGAAUAGAUGAAGCCAGCCAGUUCUCAGAGAAUAAAAACAAUCUUUUUAGUGGAGAGCCAAGCCCAGGAAGUCUAAGUAUAUACCCCUGAGAAUUUGCUGCGGAUCCUUAUGCUUGUUUCUCGGGAAGAAGGAUGGGAUGAAGGGCUUCCAGGUUUCAUGCCUCUGGGGCUCUUUGGGGCUACCUUCUGAGUGUAGCUGUCAUGUAGCAGAGAGUACUAGUUAGGUCUGGACUUGAGUUCUAGUCUUCUCUCCCCUCCUAACUUACCAGUACUUUAGCGUGGCUAAGCAAACCAGCCUUCCGAAUUUAUCUCUGCUUCUUCAUAUAUAAGCAGAGAGACAAGAGUGCCUACCUCCCAGAAUCUGUGUGGGAUGGAGUGGUACGACGACUGUAUGCGACAGCCUGUUGGAAAGAACAAGCUCUAGCCGUUGUCACCAUUAACAUAUCAGCAUAUACCAAAUCCCGUUUUCAAUCCAUGGAACUGGCUUCUUCCUCUGCUCAAACCACUCUAGAAAAUCAACUUGCUAUUUGAGCCUGAGAGUCCCCGUGUCUGACGAGAAGCCACAAAGAUUAUUUUUAUUCUCUGCAUAGCAUAGGGAAAGGAAAAGCCCAGCACCUGCAGGAAAUGGACACUUGCUCUGAGUGACCCAAACCUGGCUGCUGGUGUAGCCUGCCUUGGUUCUGGCCAAUCUGCAUGAGCAGAGGGGUUGAGAUGACCGACUCUGAAGCCAGCCUGACUGGGCUUUGAAUCAGGCUCAGCUACUUAUUUACGGUGUAUUCUUGGGCAAGUUAUCUCAUCUAUAAAAUGAGGGCAAUGAUAGUACCUACUUCUUAGGGUGAUGGUAAAGAAAAAAUGCAUUACACAGGGUAGCUUACAACAGGGGCCUGGCCUGAGGGAGGCAAUCAGUAUGUACUGGAACUUACUACUACCGCAGUGCUGGUCAUCCUAAAGGCCAAUGGCUUCCUCCCCUCAUCCAGAGUUCAUUAAUGCCGUGCUUAACACUUUAGCCCCUUUAGAAUUUUAUGCACCAUGCUCCUUACUAGGCUGGAAAAUGUGUGGCCAAUAGAGGAGUUCUGAAAUGAGAGGGCAGUGCUAAGAGCCUGUGAUUGAUACCUGAAUCUUCCAGAGAGGCUCAGAUUCACUUCCUUCAAAGGCAUUUCAUUUCUAGAGCAGAUAUGGGAGAGAAAGGGUUCUGGACCAAGAAUCAGGGACCCAGUCUUUGCCGAGUGCUUUUCUGGGUCUUAAUUUUCUCAGUUGUGAAAUAAAAAUGAGAGUUCUGGCUAUGAAUCUCAGCUUAUUUAUGUAUUAAAAAGAGAUAAUAAGAACAACAACUGUCACGGAUUGGGAUGAGGCAUGAACCAAUUAAUGAAUCACUGUGGUGUGGACCAGGUCCUGGCCACAGCCCGUGUGCCCACCAGCUUCAAUGUCCCCCAGAACUCACGGCCCAUUCUGUGGCCUCCACUGGUUUCCUUUGCACCUCUCAGGCACAUUCUUACCACAGGGACUUUGUCUCUCUGCCUGGAAUAUUCUUUCCCCA